rnacentral:rRNA from 1 species
GACGAACGCUGGCGGCGUGCCUAAUACAUGCAAGUUGAGCGCUGAAGGUUGGUACUUGUACCGACUGGAUGAGCAGCGAACGGGUGAGUAACGCGUGGGGAAUCUGCCUUUGAGCGGGGGACAACAUUUGGAAACGAAUGCUAAUACCGCAUAAAAACUUUAAACACAAGUUUUAAGUUUGAAAGAUGCAAUUGCAUCACUCAAAGAUGAUCCCGCGUUGUAUUAGCUAGUUGGUGAGGUAAAGGCUCACCAAGGCGAUGAUACAUAGCCGACCUGAGAGGGUGAUCGGCCACAGUGGGACUGAGACACGGCCCAAACUCCUACGGGAGGCAGCAGUAGGGAAUCUUCGGCAAUGGACGAAAGUCUGACCGAGCAACGCCGCGUGAGUGAAGAAGGUUUUCGGAUCGUAAAACUCUGUUGGUAGAGAAGAACGUUGGUGAGAGUGGAAAGCUCAUCAAGUGACGGUAACUACACAGAAAGGGACGGCUAACUACGUG